GUCUGCCUUCAGCAGCACAUAUACUGAAAUAAGAACGAUACAGAGAAGAUUAGCAUGGCCCCUGUGCAAGGGCGACAUGCGAUUUCAUGAAGCAUUGCAUAUUUUA
rnacentral:snRNA from 1 species